UACGGAGGGGGCGAGCGUUAUUCGGAAUUAUUGGGCGUAAAGGGCGCGUAGGCGGCCCGGUAAGUCAAAGGUGAAAUCCCUCGGCUCAACUGAGGAACUGCCUUUGAAACUGUCGGGCUUGAGGCCGGGAGGGGGUAGCGGAAUUCCACGUGUAGCGGUGAAAUGCGUAGAGAUGUGGAGGAACACCAGUGGCGAAGGCGACUUUCUGGGCUGUAACUGACGCUGAGGCGCGAAAGCGUGGGUAGCAAACAGG
rnacentral:rRNA from 1 species